UUAAGCGACUAAGCGUACACGGUGGAUGCCCUGGCAGUCAGAGGCGAUGAAGGACGUGCUAAUCUGCGAUAAGCGUCGGUGAGGUGAUAUGAACCGUUAUAACCGGCGAUUUCCGAAUGGGGAAACCCAGUGUGUUUCGACACACUAUCAUUAACUGAAUCCAUAGGUUAAUGAGGCGAACCGGGGGAACUGAAACAUCUAAGUACCCCGAGGAAAAGAAAUCAACCGAGAUUCCCCCAGUAGCGGCGAGCGAACGGGGAGGAGCCCAGAGCCUGAAUCAGUGUGUGUGUUAGUGGAAGCGUCUGGAAAGGCGCGCGAUACAGGGUGACAGCCCCGUACACAAAAAUGCACAUGCUGUGAGCUCGAUGAGUAGGGCGGGACACGUGGUAUCCUGUCUGAAUAUGGGGGGACCAUCCUCCAAGGCUAAAUACUCCUGACUGACCGAUAGUGAACCAGUACCGUGAGGGAAAGGCGAAAAGAACCCCGGCGAGGGGAGUGAAAAAGAACCUGAAACCGUGUACGUACAAGCAGUGGGAGCCUCUUAAUGGGGUGACUGCGUACCUUUUGUAUAAUGGGUCAGCGACUUAUAUUCUGUAGCAAGGUUAACCGAAUAGGGGAGCCGAAGGGAAACCGAGUCUUAACUGGGCGUUAAGUUGCAGGGUAUAGACCCGAAACCCGGUGAUCUAGCCAUGGGCAGGUUGAAGGUUGGGUAACACUAACUGGAGGACCGAACCGACUAAUGUUGAAAAAUUAGCGGAUGACUUGUGGCUGGGGGUGAAAGGCCAAUCAAACCGGGAGAUAGCUGGUUCUCCCCGAAAGCUAUUUAGGUAGCGCCUCGUGAAUUCAUCUCCGGGGGUAGAGCACUGUUUCGGCAAGGGGGUCAUCCCGACUUACCAACCCGAUGCAAACUGCGAAUACCGGAGAAUGUUAUCACGGGAGACACACGGCGGGUGCUAACGUCCGUCGUGAAGAGGGAAACAACCCAGACCGCCAGCUAAGGUCCCAAAGUCAUGGUUAAGUGGGAAACGAUGUGGGAAGGCCCAGACAGCCAGGAUGUUGGCUUAGAAGCAGCCAUCAUUUAAAGAAAGCGUAAUAGCUCACUGGUCGAGUCGGCCUGCGCGGAAGAUGUAACGGGGCUAAACCAUGCACCGAAGCUGCGGCAGCGACACUAUGUGUUGUUGGGUAGGGGAGCGUUCUGUAAGCCUGUGAAGGUGGCCUGUGAGGGUUGCUGGAGGUAUCAGAAGUGCGAAUGCUGACAUAAGUAACGAUAAAGCGGGUGAAAAGCCCGCUCGCCGGAAGACCAAGGGUUCCUGUCCAACGUUAAUCGGGGCAGGGUGAGUCGACCCCUAAGGCGAGGCCGAAAGGCGUAGUCGAUGGGAAACAGGUUAAUAUUCCUGUACUUGGUGUUACUGCGAAGGGGGGACGGAGAAGGCUAUGUUGGCCGGGCGACGGUUGUCCCGGUUUAAGCGUGUAGGCUGGUUUUCCAGGCAAAUCCGGAAAACCAAGGCUGAGGCGUGAUGACGAGGCACUACGGUGCUGAAGCGACAAAUGCCCUGCUUCCAGGAAAAGCCUCUAAGCAUCAGGUAACAUCAAAUCGUACCCCAAACCGACACAGGUGGUCAGGUAGAGAAUACCAAGGCGCUUGAGAGAACUCGGGUGAAGGAACUAGGCAAAAUGGUGCCGUAACUUCGGGAGAAGGCACGCUGAUAUGUAGGUGAAGCGACUUGCUCGUGGAGCUGAAAUCAGUCGAAGAUACCAGCUGGCUGCAACUGUUUAUUAAAAACACAGCACUGUGCAAACACGAAAGUGGACGUAUACGGUGUGACGCCUGCCCGGUGCCGGAAGGUUAAUUGAUGGGGUUAGCGGUAACGCGAAGCUCUUGAUCGAAGCCCCGGUAAACGGCGGCCGUAACUAUAACGGUCCUAAGGUAGCGAAAUUCCUUGUCGGGUAAGUUCCGACCUGCACGAAUGGCGUAAUGAUGGCCAGGCUGUCUCCACCCGAGACUCAGUGAAAUUGAACUCGCUGUGAAGAUGCAGUGUACCCGCGGCAAGACGGAAAGACCCCGUGAACCUUUACUAUAGCUUGACACUGAACAUUGAGCCUUGAUGUGUAGGAUAGGUGGGAGGCUUUGAAGUGUGGACGCCAGUCUGCAUGGAGCCGACCUUGAAAUACCACCCUUUAAUGUUUGAUGUUCUAACGUUGGCCCCUAAUCGGGGUUGCGGACAGUGUCUGGUGGGUAGUUUGACUGGGGCGGUCUCCUCCUAAAGAGUAACGGAGGAGCACGAAGGUUGGCUAAUCCUGGUCGGACAUCAGGAGGUUAGUGCAAUGGCAUAAGCCAGCUUGACUGCGAGCGUGACGGCGCGAGCAGGUGCGAAAGCAGGUCAUAGUGAUCCGGUGGUUCUGAAUGGAAGGGCCAUCGCUCAACGGAUAAAAGGUACUCCGGGGAUAACAGGCUGAUACCGCCCAAGAGUUCAUAUCGACGGCGGUGUUUGGCACCUCGAUGUCGGCUCAUCACAUCCUGGGGCUGAAGUAGGUCCCAAGGGUAUGGCUGUUCGCCAUUUAAAGUGGUACGCGAGCUGGGUUUAGAACGUCGUGAGACAGUUCGGUCCCUAUCUGCCGUGGGCGCUGGAGAACUGAGGGGGGCUGCUCCUAGUACGAGAGGACCGGAGUGGACGCAUCACUGGUGUUCGGGUUGUCAUGCCAAUGGCACUGCCCGGUAGCUAAAUGCGGAAGAGAUAAGUGCUGAAAGCAUCUAAGCACGAAACUUGCCCCGAGAUGAGUUCUCCCUGACUCCUUGAGAGUCCUGAAGGAACGUUGAAGACGACGACGUUGAUAGGCCGGGUGUGUAAGCGCAGCGAUGCGUUGAGCUAACCGGUACUAAUGAACCGUGAGGCUUAACCUU
rnacentral:rRNA from 1 species